UGACCGGUUGGGGCGGGGCCGGACUCAGCCGUUGCUGUCGGCGCCGUCGUCGUCACCGGUUCCGGUGCCGGUGCCGGUGGG
rnacentral:tRNA from 1 species